GGCUGGCCUGAUGGUAUUAAGUUAUCUCAACUGAUUGUUCAGUCAGUUACAGAUGGAACUCCUUGGUUCCACUCUUUCCUCCCCUUCUACUACUACACUUGACUAGUCUUAA
rnacentral:Y_RNA from 1 species